AAACAGGGAAUAGGCAAGCAGGACGGGGUUGGACCUAACAAUUCAGUACAGGUUAAUGUUGAGUCUGGAUCCUAUCCUAGGAAGCACAAGUCAUGAGGCAGGGGACACCCUAGGCGAGGUCUCAGUCCAUCACAAGGCACACAUACUCUCACACUAUGGGCAAUUCAUAGACACCAGACCCCUUAAACUACAUGCUCUUUUGGACUGCAGGAGGAAACUGGACUACAUGAAGAAUAGCCAUGCAAGCAGAAAGGGAACAUGGAAACUGCUCAUAUACACAGCUGAGCCAGGGGCAGGAAUCAGGCUUGGAGGUACAAGGGCGCAAUGACAGCCACUGAGACACUCUGUGCCCCCUAGGAUAGCAACAAAGAACUGAAAAACCAGAUGAGAAAAACAGUCUUGGUUCUCUCGCAGACUUCAGAUGAAGACCUUGCCUGCUGUUGCACUUCCAGCAGUGUGACAAACCAUUUAACACUGGUUAUUCCCCCAGAUCAUUUCCUUAAAGCCCUUUUAUUUCUGAAAA